rnacentral:lncRNA from 1 species
CAUAUUCGAUGCUCCUUGCUGCUUAUUUCUGGAGUUGAGGUGGCCUCGUGCUUUUAUAGGACAGCAAUUGACACAUUUGCCCUGGCAGCUGAGACAGCCCAUGAGGAAAGAAGCUUUGGGGUCCACCUGUGCUAUUUAGAAACAGUUACACACUGAAAUGAUCUCAUUUACCCCACAUGAUAGAUGUGGCCCUUCCAGAUGAGGAGUUCAACAAGACUACAUGGUAGAGCAGCCAGAGAACCCACUAGAAAUAAGGCUCAAAAUAAGGAGUAACCACAAAAUAAGGUGAUUUAUAAAGGAGACAGAGAAUGCUGAUUCACUAUGCAGUGAAACAUGCCUAACGUGUCAACAGCUAAAUGCCCGGUGACAGUGUGGUUGUCUGGGCAACAGAAGAAGUCACCCACGCAAACACUUAAAGGUAGUGAGUUAACUCAGGUAAUAUAGCUAAGCCAGGUAACCCAGCUUACAUAGCCAACACCUGGCAGUGGGCUAACACAGUUAACU